rnacentral:lncRNA from 1 species
UGCUGGCAGCUAUCUGAAGAACAGUAGGGGAACCAGUGUUAAGAUGAAGUUGAAGUUAGAACAGAGAUAAAGGAAGAGAAAAAAUUCUAAGUGGAACUAUUGAAGCCAGCAUACCUUUCAUCUUUUAAAAUUAGGUGAGCUAAUAAGCCCCUUUUAAAGUUUAAGCUAUUUGAGUCAGAUGUUUUUUCUUUUUUACACGCCGUCGAAAGAGACAGCAGGCAAUCCGGUGGCAUUACAGAGAGUUGAACUCCAGAGCG